ACUUUUGUCAGUCCCCGCUUCCUCUGCACCAGUAGAGAGAGUUUUUAGUCGGGCUGGAUUGAUCAUGAGACCACAUCGUGCUCAGUUGGGUAGCAGGAUGGUCUCCUUACUUAUUUUUUUGAAAAGUAAUUAUGCCUAUCUGUAAUCUUCACAACAUCUAAAGUGCACAUAAUCCAAGACAUUGUAAGGAUAUUAGCAGUCAUUAGUUAAGCUUAAAGGUUAAAAGUUAUGUAAAAGCUGUUACAGUUGAACAUUUACAGGUAUAGUGGUACAGUAAUGUUACUUGUACUAGAAGUGUUAUGUGGACUUACAAUAUAGAGUGGUACAGUAAUGUUAUGUGUACUAGAAAGGUUAUGUGGAUGUGUAUAGUGGUACAACAAUGUUAUGUGAAAACGAGCACUUAAUACUGACAAGUAACAAUUCAUAAUUCUAAUAAAAUUACCUUUACACCACA